ensembl:piRNA 21ur-4264 ncRNA
UUAACUUAAGUAGAUAAAUGA